UUUUUUUUUUUUUUAACAUUCAAAAAAUGAAGGGCAAACAUGCUUUUGGCUAUUGAAACACUGGACAAAUGGCUUUGCCUCACCAAGCUCCAUGCAGAAGAAAAUGUACAUAACAAGCAGAUUCUAACUAUACGUACGGGGAGAAGAAAAAAAUGCCUUUAAAAUAUAUACAUAUGGUCUUUGAUGAAUAUUUACAUGUUUGUCACAUGGGCACUACCUACCAUAAAAAAGUUAGGAAAUAGUUCUUUAAGACAUAUGAUUCUCCAAUUUUUGCUCCUUUUAAAGAUUAGGGCUCUAUAAUGUACACGCAUACACACACACAAAACAAUUCAUAGAUGUACAUAUGUGAUGUUUAUAAUGUGCAAUCCCUUGACACGAAGGUGGCUUGACUGAGUAUCAGGUAAAUGCAAGAUGGUAGUUAGUAUAAGACAGAGGCUUGAUUCAGCUACGUGGUGGAAUCGCGAACCAAGUACAGAGUCAUGAGACUUUUCCAAUGACUGGAACUCACAGCAGUUGAGGGUUGGGGGUGAGAGAGGGGCUCACCUUGUGUUGAUCCAUCUCUCCCCAGGCUACCUAAUGCUGUUUUCCAAUCAAACUCGGCAGUCCAGCUGACUGUUUGAUGAAGAUGUACUGAAGGACAGGAAGACCUGUCUCAUAUUGCAUUCUUUUGGACUGGGGAUAAGAGACCCAGUGUCGUCAAGAAAUAGGCCAUGACUUCCAUUUGUUCAUUUUGUUUACUUGUUUGCUAUCAACUUCUAGGGGGAGCUUCUAAAAGUUAGAUUGAAAGAGAUUAAAAGUUAUAUUCUUUCAGUUGCAGGGCUGUCUUUGAAUGAAAACAAACAAGUUUUUUAAUGAGCAGAAGCUGUGCAGUGUGUGGGUUUGCUGAAUGCCUAUUCUUCUGAUAGAGGGGGACUAGCUCUACCGGCCUCAAAGUUCUUAUUGAGAAUUCAGAUCAAUGUUUCCUGAGAUCUAAGUUGAUGGGAUAUUACACAUUUUGCAAAGCAUGUGAUUCAAUUAUUGUAACUUACUUCCAACCAGAGGCUCCUCCCCGAGGAAAGGCAGCUGCCUUCACUUUCAGCACCCUGGGAAAUCAAGGCAAUGCACAGAAGUAAAAACUGAUUCAUUGAAACCGGAAGAAAUGAUAGAGAAAUUGAAGCUUCUCCAAACACCUAAGAUAUCCAGGGAAAAAGUCAAAGUCUUAGGAGAAUCGGAUGCACGAAUAGUUUGUAUUCGAUCUUUAUUUUGGCAUAAAUUAUAUUUAAGGUGAUGUUACUACUACUGAUGAUCAUGAUUGUAAUUAAUUAUUUUAGCAUUUGUUAUAACGCAUGACAUACUGCAUUAGCACCUUGUAAACUAAGGAUCUCAAAAUACUUAGCAAAUGCAAUUUGCUCUCACAGCACCUGUGAGGUAGGUGUUUUUUCCAUCUAUUUUAUAAAUGAGAAUACUGAAGCAUAGCAAGGUUAAGAUGCAUGCCCACAUGACCCAACAAGUGUGAUGGUAUCAAGAGAAACUGAUUCCAAACUUCUCCACUCUUCCUUCCUGUGGACCUUAGUCACAGAGCUUCCAGAACACCUCCCAAUAGCAUUGCUGCUAGAGGUACUUGGAUGUUUCAGAUGUUACAAUAUUACUGUAGGGCUAAAGCACUCAAUGACAUUGGUAUCCAUUGAAAGAUGAUCUCACAUGCUUUGCAAAUACGUGGGAGGGGCAUCUGAUAUGACUGCUAAGUUUGUCUAUGUUAAUUAUAAUGUAUAUGUAAAUUUGCAUCUUCUCCGUGUAAUUUAUUGUUUUUCUGCCCUCCUGACUUUUUUUCUACACAUGUGCCUUCCUGAGCCAGAAACUGUAAAAUGCACUUAGCAACACCCUAUGGAGGGAAGCAGGUGAGAUUACAUUUGGCAAAAUCUCCUUGGAGGCACCAGGUAAUGUUUGUUCUGAAAGAACAACAACAACAACAACAAAAACCCCAAAAAACCCCUCUUGUUUAUUUUGUUAAGUAGCAUUUUAUAUACAUUCCACCGGAUGACCAGUUUUAAUCCUUGGAUGAGCAAGCAGAGUUGUCUUCCAAACAUACAGAAUAUUUGAUUUUCAAGUUUAAAUUUCGAUUUAUUUAGCUGUAGCCUCCCUGCCAGGCCUAAGUUCAUUUCUUGGUGGAACCGCAAAUACUGUACACAUUACAUGGCAAUAGAUGUAAAAAUUCAAUGUAACAGCACACAUAAUAUUAAUAAUCACAUUGAGUGUGUCUUCCUGACUGUGCAUUAUUUCUGAAAAAGAGUUAUUUACUUUUAUUUUUGCAGAGAUGAUAUGAAGACAUUACUGUGAGUCUCGGUUUCCCAGAACCAGAUUUUUAUCUCAGAUGCACAGUAUGUAAAUCCUAGCAGUUGUUAGGAUGUUGCUUUUUGAGAUAAAUGCAGUGCCUCAGGACCUGAGCAUGAAAUCUGGCCCUUCUAACUCAUGUAUUGUUUCUAUGACCAGAGCCUAACACUUAGAAAUUGGUAAUCCAAGAAAGAAACUAGGAGAGGGAAGAAAAAACUUUACAAAACCCCUACGCCAGUUCAUUUCCCCUGGUGACACCAGUAAAAUACCAACACACUAGGCCCCAUUUCUUAAAAAAGAAAAGAAGUGUAUUUACAUCGGUAAAAAUCCUAACAUCUGAGAUGUUUCUUGCUUGACAUGUCAUUCCAGAUUCUGUGCAUUUCUUCUGGAGAGAUCUGAUGCACGGUGAUAACUCGGCGAUACCUACACAAACUGUAGGCCAUUUUCCAGUGAUUGAAGCCACUGUUCUGGAAAGGAUGUAUGCCCAGUUUUCGAAGACAGAGUCCCACGUAUACAUCUUCAAGGUGAAGCAGCCUUGUAUGGAGUGAGGUCUUAUAGAUGAGCUCAGCUACAUCAGCUGAAAAGAUAUAGCCAGUCCCCGAACAGAACGGUGGGUAGUUACUGUCAGGGUACAAAUCCCUGGGCAUGUACCACUUGCUGCGGACGUCCCGGAUCGGCCCUCCGUUGAUGACAUAGCCAGUAAAAUACCUUCUUCUUGGCUUGGUGGAGGGUUUUAGUAGCUUAUAAAUCAGGUUGUCCAUGUUGACAAAAAUGUCACUGUCGGUUUUCAUGACAUACUUGGCUUUUGAACAAAAAGUGGCCACCCAUCUCAUUCCCAUUAAUGUUUUGAGGGUAAGGUUAUGGUAGGAGUCGAUGAAGUCCUCCACGAUAAUGUCGUGGAAGAUCUGGCUCUCCUGCUCCACCAUCUGAUUCAGAACGGGAUCGGCGUUCUUGCCCAGGAGGAAGAGCGUGGCUAUCUUGAUACCUUUGAAGUUGUUCUCGUCCCCCCACGUCUCUCGGAUUGCCUGGCGGGCAUCGAAUUCUUUGUGGGUGGUGCUGAUGAGGAUAACCAGGAAAGGAAUGCUUUUCUCACAUUUGUUGGGCUCAUUUAUGAGGAAUUCAAAAGAAUGUGGGUUUAUAGGUCGAGUUCUUAUGUUGCCAAAGGUGAAGUUUUUCCUGGCAACUGUUAGGUGGCUGAAUGGCUUGGAGCCAGUGUAGGAGGAAGUGGGACGAGUUAUACUCAGAUACCAGAGGGCGCUGGCCCAGCACACAACUGUCAAAACAUAUAGACAGGAGACCUUUGAAGCCAUUGUCUUGAGAGCACGUCUAUUCCAAAUACCGAAGAAUAUGCCUUCUUGGCAUUAGUUUG
rnacentral:lncRNA from 1 species